AAUAAUACUUUGAUAAUUUGAUUAUUUUCACAUUUAACUUUACUUUAAACUUAACAAUUGUCAUUUAAAUUUAACUUCAGUUUUUCAUAUUAAUUUCAUUAAUUAGUAACCUACAUAUGACAACUUAGUCAUUUUCAAAAAAUUUUAAAUAAUUUUAAUAACACAGAUGUCGCUAGGAACUAUUGUUUCCGUCAGCAGCCUGUCGUUUUUGAAUAUUGUCAGUAACAGCUGUUUGUAAGAAUGGUAGCCAUUUUAUAAAAAACACAUUAAAUGUGAUUUUUUAAACAUUUAAGGGUUUUUACCCUAACCAGUGGUUAUAUCCCUGGGUUUAUUUUAAACUAAAGAAUGUGUUUGUUCGAAGUUUUCUCUUCUUUUGAGGUUUUUACACCUAUAAGACGAUAGCUCUGAUGAUGGCAUAAUAUGCUGAAAGUACUUAGCUGAUUUAAUAAAUUUAUUUACACACUAUCAGUCUUUUGAAAACAUACACCAGUUCCUGUUUAGAUUUAUAUAGAAGUGUGUACAAGUCAAACAGUCUUUUUCUAAUCUUUUAUAAGACUAACAAUUGUAAUGCUUUGUUCUCUAUUUUAAAUUGAAUAUAUUUUAUUCACCACUUCAAACAUUGGGUGCGUUCGGACGACCUCAGCAGUUGACUGUAAGCGCAAAGCGGCUUAGUGGUUGUAUUCAACGGCAAUAGGUAACACUUAGUAAAUGUCACAACAGCUGAUUUCCAGCGGAUAUGUCUGAAUUAUACCGCUUACUCAGCUGUCCAACUGCUGAGGUCAUCGGAACAUACAUAUUUAGUUCCUUUUGCUAUCCUAUGCACGCAAGAUUAAAUAAAAUUCAGUGCUCGA